AGCAAGAGGUUGCGGGGCGACAGUGGACGGUUUGAUGGGACCAAAUUCUGGAACAUUCGGGACUGCGGCACCUUACGGCGGGACCGAGAUUUGGGUCUGCGCAGGCGACGAUGGGUGGUCCGACGGGCUUCAGGACUUGAUGGCGUAACCCCCUUCUUCCCCCACGUAUGUAUUUGCUGGGAUCAGGGGCGCUGUCUCUGUGUAUGUGGGUGCUCUGUCUUUCUCACCUUCUUUCUCGAUUUUUGCUAUUUAUUUCUCUGAGGGAGGGUUUCUUCCCACUUUAAUUUCUUUUCCCUAGUGUCAGCUGCUCAAGCCUGACCAGGGUAGAGGAGAGAGGAGUGAACCAUCCCCUGCUUCCCACCUGACCUCCCAGCCUUUACCCUAUUUCCUUCUAGUGGACAGACAGACUGGUUCUCCAAGUUGUUUGGGUGUCAGCGUCCAUCUGUCUGUCCGUGCAGGUCUUGUGUGGAAGGUAGGGGAGUGAGAAGUGCCAAAAGGAAGACAGAGGGACAGUUUUUUCCCAGGGGUUGUCUUAUUGGAAGGUCUGGCCCUGGGAAUCUGAGGCUGGUGGGGAGCCGAGUGGCCAGGGUGGGGUGUGGGCUGGGAGAAGUGGGGUAAAGCUGGUAGGUUUGUCACUGCGUAGUUGGGAAAAGUGGGGAAUGGUGACGCAGUCACUGUUGCAUCUGGUUAGGAGCUCUAUGGGGACAGGUAGUGAGACUCCUGGGGUCUCUGUGGCCAGCUGAGAGGGGUUAAGGAUGAGCUGAGAAGGGAAGCUAGCAUUUAGAGAUUAAAUGUCAUCCUUUUGGCGUUGGAAAGUUGUUUACCUUGCGCUCUCUGUGUCUCCAUGUUGGCUCCCUUCCAGUUCACAUGUGAUGGCCUUCCCUGUACUGCUGCAUCAUUAACUAAGUGACUGAGCUGGCCUUCCAUUGGCCAGGGGAGGGCUCUCCCUCCAGACACUUCCUCUGAUUGGUGGGUGGGCCAAUGGCAGGUGAAAAGCUUUUUUUGAUUGGCUCAAGGCAGGGUAUCAAAUCUGAAUUUGCAUUUCACUUGCUUAAAGGGGAGCGGGGAGAAGCCCAGCAGCUUUCUAAAAUCUCUUUAGGGGUGUGCGUAGGCUCCUGUGUCUAUGCCUGCUUUUGACUGCCCAGUUGAAGCCUCUUCCUAUGCCUUUUAAAAUUUCACGCACUAUAAGAAGGAAGAGCUCGGGGCUCCCAAAACUUUUUAUUUAGAGGGAAGAAUCCUAGGGAGAUGGGUAUGCAGAGAGUUGACCAAAUUGGAAAAAAAUAUUUAUUCUGUAGUUUGGUGUUGGAAAAGGGAAUUUUCCAAUCAGCCACACCUCGGUGUUGCGGCAAAAUAAUUCUUGGCUCCCCUGGAAACGCAUGGGCAAGGUAGGGCAGAGCUGCUGCUGCUGAUACUGCCACCACCCUGGGCUUCCUGCUGACUCUGGGCUACUCCCUGGGGACAACAGAUUUGCAUUGACGUCCGGGGCUGUCCAGAGGCCCUUAAGAGCCAGUUGUGAGCUGAGCCCAGUAUGGGAAAGAUCUGCCUUCUGGAAGCUACUACUACGUGGUGCUUGGAAAGCAGUGGCUGCCUGCUUCCUGAUGCUGCUGCGUCCCAUGGGAGGGGAGCUGGGCACCCUGAAGCCCCUCGUUACCGAUUCGGGGGCCGCGGAGCAGAAAGUGACGACAACCAGUGAGUCGUCAGUCGACGGCAAUGGGGACCCUGGUGACGGCUGCUUUGUUGUUUUUUUCCUCUUUGGAAGAUGACUCAGUGUAUCGGGAGCCGGGAGAUGGAGCUCUCAGCAGAGUGGCCAGGAUGUUCUGUCAACAUGAAAGCUGCAAAAACAGCUCGGGGCUCUGAGCUGAUCCUUAGCCUGGGGUCAUUUUCAGGGAGGGCUGGACAGAGAAGGCGGCCACUGCCCGGGCAUCAGGAUGGGGGCGACACCAGGUAACUCAGCAGGGCUCUGGGAACCCUUGUAUUUUAGAGUCUGAAAAGAAAAUAAUAGCUGUGUGUGUUAUUAGAUGAGCUUGGCAAAUAGGGUCACUUUUUGAGUUCCUCCCACUAGUCCCAGAUGACAGACAUCGUCCUCGGGCCCAGCAAGUCCUCUGGGAUUUUUCACCGUAGUUCUGUUUGUGAUGGUCUUGGUGGUCAUUGCCUUGAAUGAAGGGCUAUUCGCUUCUUGGGGUGGGGGUGGGCCAGGCCGACAUCAGUGAAUGCGGGCGCACCUAUACCCCGGGAGAAGUGGCUGUGGUGGGGCUGUGGCGUCUUCAGAGUCCUCUGCCGGGCGGCGUUUCAAGAUGGCGGCUCCGCAUCGCCGUCACUAAGCUAAAGGCCGGCUCUUGGGCAGCCUCCGUCAGCCUCCCCUUUCCAUAUUGACCCAAAUCAGAGCUUCCCUUCUCCGCUUCAUCAUCUUCAUUUUCUUCUUAGGUGAAACAGUGGGCCUUGAGUUCUUGACCCUUUUAAUUUUGUUUGCGUCAUCAUGGCGGCUGUGGGUUCUAGGCUUUUCUCGAUACCGCAACCUUGCGCUAUAGGCGCGUGAUCCCCGCGCCCCGCCCCGCCCCGCCCCGCCCCGCCUUCUUGCGACGGAGAGCGAAGAUGCACUUCUACUGCCACUGAAUGCCGGCCCAGCCGUCCUCCCCUUUCUCUCCUCUACCACCGCAGUGGGAGCAUGGGGCAGAGGGGCAAACAAUUGUGUAUGAGGAUGAGGGACAGCCUGGGCCGCGUCCCCUCCCUCCUUUCGCUGGAUGCUAUUUUUCAGACUCAUGCUUUCCCACGGAUGAUGCUAGCAGUGACAUUUGCCACUGAGCACCUCCUCUUCUCUCCAAGGACCUCCCAGGGUGACUCAUUUGGGAUCUCUGGUAGGAGUGGCUCCUGGGCCUUGGGAGCCAGAGCGGGGCAGGGAGAUGUGACGGAGGUCACAUGAGAGAGUUAAGCCGGGCAGGGAAUGGGAACUAGCCAUCCCCACUCAGAGUGCAAAGGCAGACACAGCCCUUUCAUGUCAUGUUUUGCACCUGAGUAGAGAGCAGCUUACCCUAAAAAGAUUGUUUAUGUAUAUGGACGUUGGAACCUUUCCUGUCUCAUUUUUUUUGUCCCAAGCUGUGUAUAUGAUAAGAGCCUGGAUUUCGGGCUUCAGGCAGCUCUAUGGUCCCUCAGGUUCGUUUUCUGAAAGAGGUGGUAAACAGGUCCUCCUUCAUCAGACCCUGUAUCCGCUGUCACUGGCCUUUCCCCAGGACAUAGGUCCCAUGUCAUUUUGCCCAACAUUGUCUUGCUUCUUUCAUUGGCUGGUGGACAGCAGCUGAGGGUCAUGAACCCAGAGCCACAUGCUAACCCCAGAUGGGACUCUGGUUGGAAUCUGCUCAAUUCAUUGCCUGGUUGGCUCUCUGAGCUGAGCCCACCUGUCUUCCUUUCUCUUCUUCCUCACAGAGGACUCAGGAGAGCGCAGCUUGCUCUGUGAGUGGGUGACAACCUCUUGGCGACUCAGGCUCAGCUGAGGAUGGUGCCAGUGUGCCGGAGACAGCCAUCAUACUGCCGGAUAGAGUGGCUCACUUGCAUGUAUUUGGAACAAAAAAAGGAGAUGCCUGGCAGCCCCGCUCUCUGCAGUGCUGUUGAGCCACCAAUUUUUGUGGUUUUGUGACCACAAGUGCUGACUGAUGGCACAUGACUCCAGUCUUGUCAGUGAAUCAUCACCAGGCUGCUUACUGGAAACUGGAUGCAGCAAGGAAAUAGGAUUUAACCACUCUCUACCUCCCAGAAUUAUCCAAGAGAGGAAAAUGAUGACUAAAAUAACGAAGAUCGUACCGGAUAAAGUGCCUAGGCAGUAAAACAAGGUUCCGGCCCAGCUAAAAGUCUAAAUUCAUUAGGGAUCUGAAUUCUUCAGUAGCUGGCAGAAACUCAAAGGCCAAUUUAUUCUAAAGAACCAUGGUACCCUGUGACUGGCAAAGCAGUUAGAGCUGAUGUGCCAUGUAAACUUCAUAGCCCAGCAUCAUCUACAGAAGGCAUGAACACAGAACCAGACUUCUCCAUGGGCACAAGAGCCAUAACCUUCAGGUGUCAUAUUUCACUGAUGGCUCUCUGACAUCCCACUUAUUCUUAUUAGUGGGUCAUGAGGCAGAACAACUCUCGAUUUGGUAAGCAAAGCCAGGAACAUCUGGAAAGAGAACAGCCAUUGUUUUUCUUGCCACUCCAAAUAUAAUGGGCCAGAGGAGGCUCACAGAAGCAUGCUGAACCACGUGCUCUAACAAACAAAGAAGGGUCGGGGGAAAAGUCUUUGCCACCCUGAAAAGCCUAACUUACUAUUGAAUCCUGCUUCCCUUCUGAAAUCUAAAAUUGUUCUGGAAUUGGAAAUCAUUAUUAGGUGGUGGACUUUGUAAAUGCCAAAAAAUCCUUGGAAAUUAUUAAAGAUAACUCCUUAAUUGCUCAAUCUAGUUAUCCCCCCAGACUCAUAGUGUACCAAGAAUAAUGGAUACAGAUAAACAACGAAUAAUACCUCACUUGACAGUGGUAGAAGCAGGAGGCAGACAAAUCCUAGGCAGAUGGGGCGGAUCCCGAUGAAACCCGACCUUCAAGCUGAAGACAGUUUAAAGCCUCGCUACAAGUUCCAGGUAAAUCCAUGGACUGGCUUGAGAACCUCUCUUCCCAUUGGGUGUGCUUGCCUCUGAUUGAUCCCCACUCUUCAUCUAUUUCACAUAUACCUGCUCUUCCAUAAUUGGUUUUUUUGCACUGUUGUGCCCACCUUUGAGUGGUGGCUUUGCUUUAGCCUUUUUUGCAUACUCACAAACAAAUUAAUACACACUUCCAAUUCUGAGUCCAUAAAAGCCCCAGAACCAGCCACACUGAGAGAAUGACCCCCUGACUUCAUCUGGGGUCCACCCUCGUGUCUCGUCUCCCCUGAGAAGCUGUUUCGUCACUCAAUAAAACUCUUCUCCACCCUCCUCAACCUUCUAUUGUUAGCAUAACCUUCUUUUUCUUGGCUGCAGGAAGAGAACUCAGGACCUACCAAACGCAGGUACGAAGAAGGCUGUAAUACAGUGACCCUUUGCCCUCUCCCAGGGGAGGGCAGCUAUUCCAUGCAACAGGAAGCAGCAGCAGGUCAAGUCAGCCCUGGAGACGCAGGCCUGGCAGGGCGAUGGGACUGACAGAGUUGUUAACACACCGCCAUCUGUUGGGCUGCAGGCAUUAUCAAAUGCUAAGAGCUAUUAGCAUGCUAUAACACCCCCUCUUGGCUUUGGGGUUGUGGGGACCCCUGUUUGGGCACCACCACGUUUCCUUCAGUGCAACAUGACUGGUUCAGCCGCAAUCCCCACACGGAGCCCGCUCCUGGGCCAGUGCUUGGCGCAGCCAGCCAGAACCCACACUUGCUCACUACACACCCCCUCCUGCCAGAGGCUGAGCAUGUAGUCGUGGCAGCCACAGGAUCUUCAUCAGAGCCCAAGCCAGGCACGGCCUGGGAGGGUCGAGUAGAUGGGGUGUCUCCUGCGUUGAUCCUGGGCCGAGCAAGGCCUGGGCAGGGCUGUUUCUGGCCAGAGGUCACCAGCUGGCAAAGUGGCUGAGAAAAAUCUUGCAUCAAAACAAUUACACUGGCCAUUCUUGACAUGAAGAUAUGUAAUUGGGUUAUACUUAUCCAUACAGUAUUACAGAUUUCACUUUUGAUUGGUUUUAAGUUUCCUAAAACAACCUUUGCCUUAUUAUGAGGCAAACAAUUUUCGUCUUACUCAUCUUUUUUUCUCUAGUAUACAUUUUAUAAAAUUAUGUUCUUUUGCCUCCAAAUAAAUACAUACCCAUUCAUUUCAAGUUCCAACUGUGGACUCAAGAUCAGUGACUGUAUUUAGGUUUGUACCUGACAUUGAGCUGUAUGUGCCAUUUUCUCAUUGUCUUCUGAAAGUGGUGCCACUUAGUCCCUAUCCUUAUUUCAAAACUACCCUUCCAUAAAUUCAUCUGUCUGGGUACUUCUUAUCUACUAGGUCGGCUCCUGGUUUGGAUUAACCCCUGAUCUCAGGGGAGUGAUUCUCCACACUGAGUCCUGGGUCUCAACUCUGGGUCACACUCA